ACUCAAAGGAAUAGACGGGGGCCCGCACAAGCAGCGGAGCGUGUGGUUUAAUUCGACGUAACACGCAGAACCUUACCUAGGCUUGACAUGCCACUGCAAGGAGGGGAAACCCUUCCGCCUUCGAGGGUGUGGCACCGGUGCUGCAUGGCUGUCGUCAGCUCGUGUCGUGAGAUGUUGGGUUAAGUCCCGCAACGAGCGCAACCCUUGCCCCGUGUUACAGGUGUCACGGGGGACUGCCGUGGUGUUACUACGGAGGAAGGCGGGGAUGACGUCAAGUCCGCAUGGCCCCUACGUCUAGGGCGACACACACGCUACAAUGGCUGGAGGAAAGUGCUGCCACUGGGCAACCAGGCGCAAAUCACGAAGACCAGCCGCAGUGCAGAUGUGGGGCUGCAACUCGCCCCACUGAAGACGGAGUUGCUAGUAACCGCGUGUCAGCAGAGCGCGGUGAAUACGUACCCGGGCCUUGUACACACCGCCCGU
rnacentral:rRNA from 1 species